rnacentral:rRNA from 1 species
AUGAACGCUGGCGGCGUGCUUAACACAUGCAAGUCGAACGGACGCUUUGUAGCGAUAUGAGGCGUUAGUGGCAAACGGGUGCGUAACACGUGGGUGACCUACCCCAAAGUGGGGAACAACGGACCGAAUGGUUCGCUAAUACCGCAUUAGCUCGAUGAUUCAAUUUGUCGAGUAAAGCCGUAAGGCGCUUUGGGAGGGGCCCGCGUCCCAUCAGGUAGUUGGUGAGGUAAUGGCCCACCAAGCCGAUGACGGGUAGCUGUUCUGAGAGGAAGAUCAGCCACACUGGCACUGAGAUACGGGCCAGACUCCUACGGGAGGCAGCAGUGAGGAAUAUUGCACAAUGGACGAAAGUCUGAUGCAGCGACGCCGCGUGGGCGACGAAGGCCUUCGGGUCGUAAAGCCCUUUUAGCAGGGACGAGUGAGGACGGUACCUGUUGAAUAAGUCUCGGCUAACUACGU